rnacentral:tRNA from 1 species
GCUGGAGAUGUAGCUCAGUGGUAGAGCGCUUCCUAGUAUGCAUGAGGCCCUGGGUUCAAUCUCCAGUACAGUA